rnacentral:rRNA from 1 species
UACGGAGGAUCCAAGCGUUAUCCGGAUUCAUUGGGUUUAAAGGGUGCGUAGGCGGAAUGAUAAGUCAGUGGUGAAAUCCUGCAGCUUAACUGCAGAACUGCCAUUGAUACUGUCAAUCUUGAGUACAUUUGAUGUGGGCGGAAUGUGUCAUGUAGCGGUGAAAUGCUUAGAUAUGACACAGAACACCGAUUGCGAAGGCAGCUCACAAAACUGUAACUGACGCUGAGGCACGAAAGCGUGGGGAGCAAACAGG